AGCUACACAACGAGAUGAGGAUGGUCAUUGUCAUUUUCUGAGCUGCGAACAUGUAGAAGGCUACACAACGAGAUGAGGAUGUUCAUUGUCAUUUUCUGAGCUGCGAACAUGUAGAAGGCGACACAACGAGAUGAGGAUGGUCAUUGUCAUUUUGUGAGCUGCGAACGGGCAGAAAGUCGAGAAAAUGUCGGAUUUUCACCAUUUGUGCUGACCUUUCAAUUUCAACGUACCUCUCUAUAACAUAAACCAGCUGUAAUGUCAGUGGUCGCAUUCGUUUCAUUUUUGGUUUGCUUUUAGGACGCUGGCACCCGCAUUUAUUGACCCAGAAAAUUUGGCACUGCCGUGAAUAGUUUAGUCGCAAAGUGAAGAUUCACGGGUAAAAAGCCCCAAACUUCUAGAUAGGUUCUUUUUCAGCUUUCAGCAGCCCUGGGCGAGUUCUUUAGAGAAAUGUGGCACUUUUUCAUUGUGCUAUUUUCUAUGUCCAGCUACACAACGAGAUGAGGAUGGUCGUGGUCAUUUUCUUAGCUGCGAACGGGC